UAUCCCAGUCUGCUCAGUGGGAUAGCACCGGAAUGGAAGCAUUAGCUUUAAUGGGAAAGGCCUGUUUGCAGGCGAAGUAAAGUCAGUAACUCACACUUCAAACACCUGCAGGUUCAUUAGCAUCCUGACAACCCUCAGGUGGACCUCCACAGGAACAAAUCAUAUCCAUGUCAGGCGGCACCAAACCUAAAUCUGCUUCUGCCUCAGCAGACAGGACAUGUUGAGUUUGGCCAGUGAGUGCUGCAGGAUACUGGAGGGAGGGCAACAGAGAGGAAGGUCACCUACAUGUCUAUGUUCAGAAGCUGCCUUGAUGCCACAUGCGGGAGGCUGGAAACGCUGAAGGAUGACCACUGCUCAGCAGCAGUCUACCAGUGAUGGAUGAGAGUUGGUGCACAAAUACCCCAGCUCCCUUGCCUCUCAGUUUGGAUAAUCCUGAAAAGGUGUGUACUAUGCUAUUUCUGAGAUUAAGCCCUAGUUACCCAUAGUGGUAGCUAAAUAUAGUAGUUGGCUGUAUUCUCCAUCACUUCUUGAAUCCCCUGCCAGUGUUCUCUGCACCUCCUUAAUAAACCACUUGAAACAAAAA
ensembl:lncRNA novel transcript